rnacentral:rRNA from 1 species
UACCUGCAGCUCGAGUGGUAACCGCUAUUAUUGGGCCUAAAGCGUCCGUAGCCGGUUUGGUAAAUAUCUGGGUAAAUCGUGAGGCUUAACUUCACGAAUUUCGGAUAGACUGCCAGACUUGGGAUCGGGGGAGGUCAGAGGUACUCCAGGGGUAGCGGUGAAAUGUUGUAAUCCUUGGAGGACCACCGGUAGCGAAGGCGUCUGACUAGAACGAGUCCGACGGUGAGGGACGAAGCCCUGGGGCGCAAACCGGAUUAGAUACCCGGGUAGUCCAGGGUGUAAACGAUGUGGGCUUUGUAUUGGAGGUCCCACGUGGGCGUCCAGUGCAGAAGAGAAGUUGUUAAGCCCACCGCCUGGGAAGUACGGUCGCAAGGCUGAAACUUAAAGGAAUUGGCGGGGGAGCACAGCAACGGGUGGAGCGUGCGGUUU